rnacentral:rRNA from 1 species
GCUCAGCCGUAAACCUUUAUUUACACCAAAAUCGCCAGGGAACUACGAGCCAAGCUUAAAACCCAAAGGACUUGACGGUACCCCACAUCCAUCUAGAGGAGCCUGUCCCAUAAUCGAUAAUCCACGUUUAACCUUACCAUUCUUAGCCAAGUCAGCCUGUAUACCUCCGUCGUCAGCUCACCCCGUGAGCGAAAAUUAGUGAGCUUAAUGUUUUUACACAGCACGUCAGGUCAAGGUGCAGCAAAUAGAGUGGAGAGAGAUGAGCUACACUUUCUACAUUAGAAGAAACGAAAAACUACCUAUGAAACCUAGUUGGAAGGCGGAUUUAGCAGUAAAAAGGAAUCAAUAUGUCCAUUUUAACCCGGCACUGGGGUGCGU